UCAGCUUUGGUGUAUCCUAUUGUAUGUUUAUACGUGUUUAGAACAUGGGGCAGGUUAUAAGGCAACAUUUGUAAUUUAUAAUUAGCACACAAACAUUGU
rnacentral:lncRNA from 1 species